AACAACAUCACUGCCACCUUGUAACCUGGUCUCAUUAGAUCUCAGUUGAGCACAGCUGGGCCAGAUCAGAACCACAGUGGGGGACCUCCAGGGAAAACCAGGUUCCUGCUGUCA
rnacentral:rRNA from 1 species